rnacentral:lncRNA from 1 species
GGGGGGAGGGAGAAGGUUCUAAAAGCAGUGCCUUGGCUUGUGGUUGAGCAGAAGAUUAAGUUGCACUUUGCUUAGCUUCAGUGCUAAACAACUGUGUUGUGGGUGGUUCUUUUUUCCAGCUCUUACGGAGAGCACUGACUGCAUCCCAACAUUACUUCCGCGUACGAAUGGGAACGCUGCUGGUGGGGCGCCCGCCCCAUGCUCUGGGAGCGUUUCCAUUCCUCUACGUUACUUGGCUCUUGAAAAACUUCGUCUCUCCCAACACCGGGUUCUUACAGUGUGUAUGAGACAAUGGCAGCUGGUAAGUGUACGUACCGAACCGUUCCCAGUACCCCGUGUAUUCCUAACCUGUCUGGGUCUUUCUCCAGUUGUAACCUCGUCAGUUUUGUGUGGGUCUUCAAAGCCAUCUGUGCUAUCCUCCACAUUCAAAGGUGACUGUACUUGCCAUAACUGCUUAGUGAUUACUUUUCUCUGAGGAGCUCCUGUUGGGGUCUGCUGUGUGGCUGCACCACUCUGCAGGCGUUGGCUGGGCGCGGGGACCUCAGUGCAGAGCAACGCGUCCGCUCCUCCAGGGACCAGAGCUGCAGCAGGUGCAGCCGCGCCGGGCUUGGCCCAGGGCUUCCAGGCAACAGAAAAACGCUUACAAAAAGAAAAAGCAGCUUUAAUUUUGAAAACAAUUGCGUGUGGAAGAGUGCUGUUAAUGAGCCUUAUGGCUGGGAGGUGGCAUGGCAAUGCAGAGCUUACUGGCAAACAGCAUCCUGCUCGGGCAGCCUGGGUACUGAGAGGUUGGAGACGGUACCUAAGCUGUGCAGAGCGCAGUGAGCGUCCUAGUCCCUUUGUCUGAACAUUUACACAUGGCAGGAGGAGCUAGGACAGGCGGUCAGCAGUGUUAAACUUUAGUGGGAGGAAAAGGCAGAGAUGUCCUGUACACUGUACACUGUCAUCCAUAUCUCAGAGCAAAUCUCUGGGCUCGUGGUACGAGGGACCUGCUCUGAGACGGGGAGUCAUGAAGGACUAACUUAAAAAAACACAAAGCAACAAACACACCGUGGCGGCAGGUCAGCGGCACAAUCCCCCGUUAAGGAGGUGACCCCUCCGCUGAGCGCAACGUGUCUGAAUGUGCCGAAUCUGCGUGUUUCAGCAGCAAGGAAAAGUCUAAUCCUGGCUUAUGCCUGCACAGUGCUCCUGACAAGGGGGCUCUCGGUGGUGGCUGCUGUUCCUGUUGGUUACUCCCUUAUGACCAUGUUUUACAUUCUUCAAGCCGGUUAAUUUCCAUGCAGUGCUCAUUCCCAAUUUAAAGAGGACAGUAUUCCAGAAAAUGGGCUCUUUUUUUUUCUAAUGCAUACUGUGAAAGAAAAGAAAUACAAUUACCGAUCUUCAUGGGUCUUCAGGGCUGCUCGUUUCUUUGCCUGUUUUUCUCCCCAGAAACAGUAAAAAUCUCCGCACCGAGCAUUACAUCCCCGUAACGAACCCUUCGUCAAGCAAGACGCUGGGCCGUGUCACAAAGCCCGUCACUCCCCCUGUGCCACCACGGGCACCACCGAAGCCAGACCCUGCGCCUCGUUCACAGCUCGGGGACAAAGCUCAGGCGACCUUUACUUUGUUCCGUGGUUAGGUGUGUGGCGGGGAACGCAGUGCCCUGAACUAUUGCUUUACCAAAACCUUCCCCAUUAGCUGAGCGAGCAGCAGCUGGCGAGGGGACCCAGGGAGCCCAUCGCCAGUACCAGCUCCUGCCUCCACCUGUGUGCAGAGCCUCGGGCUGGCUCCACUCCCUGGGCUUGCGUGGUGGCCCCGCAGCCCCAGCAGUGCCACCAGACCCUUCUCCACUGCAGUGCCCCAUGCAACACCCCUCUGGUACCGCACUGUGCCGAGGGAGCCCUGACAGUUCUCCUAGACUGUGCCCCAUGUGUGGGCGGAGUUAAUUAAACAUUAAUUUGCCACGUAAAUGCCCUGCGGGCACCUCACAGAGCCACGUAAGGAAGGCCGGCCNNNNNNNNNNCCUGCGGACACCUACGUGCUGUAAAAGCCAGUGGCCUCACAGAGCCACGUAAGGAAGGCCGGCCGGGCGCGGGGUUUGCUCUGGGGACAGGGCUGUGCUCCAGGGGGAGUCACAGGAGCGGGGCGGGCUCUCCUGCCGCCCCCAGGCAGCUGCAGCCAGCUGCACGCUCUACCUGCACUGAGGGGGCCGCUGCCUGCUGCAGGCUCUGCCCAGCUCCCUUUAUUUCGCUUCCUGCAAUGACAAGGACGUUAUUCCUUGCUGGGAGGGGUGAGGCAUAUCCUUUGGG